AGAAGUUUUUAAGACAUCCUUUUUGUGGAUGUUGGUUUUUGUAGGUGGAAGCGGAGCGACUCCUGCUAGGAAGAGACUGAUGUGAGAUUUUAAGAGGUUGGAACAAGACCCACCUGCAGGAAUCAGAAAUGUGCUCCUCAUGAUAACAACAUCAUGCUGUGGAAUGCUGUCAUAUUUGGUCCUGAUGAUACUCCCUGGAAUGGAGGUAGCAAACAAAAUGUAGGUAAGCUGGCAAAAGAUGGCGUGGACGAAAUGGGCGCACGAUUGGCACAGGAGAUAUGCUAUAUUGGAGUGAUAAACUUCAAACCAAGUCUUGUCAAAUGUGAUUCUCUUGUGUGGCAUCAGUAUUGGAGUUGUGGCUCCUAUAAGUUGUAGCGGAAACCGUUUCUGGUCAUAAUAUUGGUUGCUCUACAGGUUAGAAUGGCACUUGUUCUUUUGGGUUCGCCGACUGUUGUGCUUUGCCCUUGUCUACUUGGUUGGGAUGGUUGUAUCUCAUAAGGCCUUGCUCGUUAUGCUCGGGUCUGAAGCCAUCUCUGCUUCUCGAGCUCUUGAGUCUUUUGUGGCAUUGGCGAGAGAUCCCGUCUCGCAGUCGUAGGCUAGGCUAUUGCGUUUGUUUGAUUUAGAUCUGUCAUUGUUCUGCAGUCAUUUCGGUGCCUUUCUACAUGACUGGUUGUUAAACAAUAAACAUAAGGGUGGAUUUCAAAAUUCUGGUACAUAUUGGAUGCUGUCUGCUAUUAAUCGGUGUGAUUAUUGUGCUAUAUAGUUCUCUGUUAUUGACAGAAUUGAUCAUACAUUAAAAUUCAAUUGGCUUUGUUUGUGGUCUGGCGUUAUUAGAUACCCCAUAGAAUUGUUGUGGAACUUGGUAGAUCUUAUGAUUGUUCCAAUUCUAUGUACUUGGGAUUUAUCAUUAACAAUAUUA